GAUGAAGAACGUAGCGAAAUGCGAUACUUGGUGUGAAUUGCAGAAUCCCGUGAACCAUCGAGUCUUUGAACGCAAGUUGCGCCUCAAGCCAUUAGGUUGAGGGCACGUCUGCCUGGGCGUCACAUAUCGUUGCCUGAUGCCAGUUUCCUCGUGAUGGGUGACUGUGCAAGGCGAAUGAUGGCUUCCUGUGAGCACUGUUGCCUCAUGGUUGGUUGAAAAUUGAGUCCUUGGUAGGGAGCGCCGUGAUAGAUGGUGGUUGAGUGACGAACGAGACCCAAUCAUGUGAGACCCCUACCGAAUUUGGCCUUCAUGACCCACAUGCGUCUUUGGUACGCUCAUGACGAGACCUCAGGUCAGGCGGGGCUACCCGCUGAGUUUAAGCAUAUCAAUAAGCGGAGGA
rnacentral:misc_RNA from 1 species